rnacentral:rRNA from 1 species
AACGAACGCUGGCGGCAGGCCUAACACAUGCAAGUCGAGCGCACCGCAAGGGGAGUGGCAGACGGGUGAGUAACGCGUGGGAAUCUACCCAGCUCUACGGAAUAACUCAGGGAAACUUGUGCUAAUACCGUAUACGUCCGAGAGGAGAAAGAUUUAUCGGAGUUGGAUGAGCCCGCGUUGGAUUAGCUAGUUGGUAGGGUAAUGGCCUACCAAGGCGACGUUCCAUAGCUGGUCUGAGAGGAUGAUCAGCCACACUGGGACUGAGACACGGCCCAGACUCCUACGGGAGGCAGCAUGGUGGAAUAUUGGACAAUGGGCGAAAGCCUGAUCCAGCCAUGCCGCGUGAGUGAUGAAGGCCCUAGGUUUGUAAAGCUCUUUCACCGGUGAAGAUAAUGACGGUAACCGGAGAAGAAGCCCCGGCUAACUUCGUGCCAGCCGCCGCCGUAA